UGGAGCAAGUGGAAAUUAGGUGGGGUGGAAUCUGCUUUCGAAGGACUCUCAUCUCCUUGGCACCAAAGUAGAAAGAUCGUUGAACCAUGUUUGACUGGUUACUGGAUGCGUAUGAGCCAUCAGAAUGAUCAAUCACAUCUUCAUAUUCAUGAUGAGCACAUGUAAUUCUUGGUGGAUCUCAAGUGAACAAGAGCUCUCUCUCCCACACUGGUAGAAUAGACGGUGCAUGUUCGCCUCUUGCCAUCUCCGCAAUGGCGUUCAGGAACAGAUGCAGUCCAGGUGCAUCACACAUUGUGUGGUUUAGGCGCAAUGCAAGUAUGAAACCUCCACAUGUAAGAUGGGUCACCUGCAUAUUGCAAAAAUUAGUUACUAGGCUUUUUUCUUAAUCAUCAUAUUCGUGGUAGUUCACAAUUCUUUAGAAGGAAAAAAGAAAAAAAAAAUCUAAAUUAGGUGAUCUAAUUAGGAAACAAAAAUUUCAUAAAAAUUAGGAAUAAAAUUCAAGAAAGAUGGAGUCUCUUUGGAAGAGUCUCGUGCCUGUGGUAAUUUAUUACUUGAAAGAGUCUUUAAAUAUAGAGGAAUUUAGACAAAACACUUAAAGAAGAAAAAAAAAUUUAGACAGAAGACGAAGAGAACGACAUGACGACAGACAAAAACCCUAGAAGAAGAACGGCAAAGGAAAGCCCAGACGCUAAAGGUGACAUGAGACUGGUAAAAAGAACCUAGGACCUAAUCAGGCAGAUACCAUGUAGAAAUAUAAUUUCCUCGAUUCGUUGUGUAUACAAAUUUUGCAAUAUAUAGGGUUAAACAUAAGGACUGUUGAAAAAAAUUAGUUUAAAAAAAUAAUGAAAAUCGUCUCAUUAUAUUUUCUUUCCAAAACCACCUAAUGAAUUUUCUUUAAUCAUAAGAACAAAGAAGCAUGGUAGUAUCAUAGAUAAGUUCAAGUUUGGAUGUGGUGGUAGCAUGAUAAAUUUUUGGUUAUGAAAAGGAUUGCCAAUUUUAUGAAAAAAGUUAAAAACCCACCGAACUUCGACUUAUUUACAAUAUUGUUAGCGCUUUCUUGUUUAUGCCUUUAUUUGUUAUUAAAAAUUUCAUAUGUUGCCCAUUGAACUAAUUUCUUACAAAAAAAUCUCCAACAUGUGUAUGCGAUCUUAACGCAAAAAAACACUACUCUUACCCUUAACCUACUUAAAUUUUUUUUUGUAAAGAAUUAAUAUGGCAAUGACCAAAUAUGAAUACAAAAUACUAAUUAACAUGUAAUUAAUAAUUAAUUGAUUCACUUGAUCCAUUACCAAAGGAUAAUCAAUAAUUCCAUCAGAGUUUGGAAAAAUUAAAUAAGAACUCCUCUAAUAGUGGACAAGGAGGUAGAAUUUUGUCUCCUAGUUGCUCAAGUGUGACAUCAGCAAAAACCUUGAUGAACAAGAUACCUUAACCAUUGCAAUCGACCCUAAGCUUUAUGUUAGGCCCUUCCCUAAGCCUCCCAGCUAAAGGGUAGUAAUACAGUAGUGCCCUACUUAAGGCUUCCCUAAUCACCUUAACGGGAUCAUGAUUUUCUUUCAGUGAAGGGUUAUUCUUGUAACACAUUAUGACUAGAACCUAAAACCCUCAAUCUUAUAUUGCGUUAUGCAGAUGCUCUAGGGUUCCCCCAAUCUUUCGUCCAAGUUUCCACUCCAGUUGUGAUUCUUUUCUUUUCCAUUAAAAAAAUGUGGUUAGAAAGAAACGUGUAAAUCACACCUCAGAUUCAUGUAUAUACAUUAAUACUGAAUUUCAUUUCAACAUCAGAAAACUGUAUACAAACAGAGAUAUGAGGACAGGUAUUCGGUAAAAACCUUCGAUAGAAAUCAAAGGAAAAAAUGCCAACAUUGUAUCUGCCUCACAUUACAGCUAUCACUGUUCUAAGACAUCAGACGUUUGCUAUAAAAACGAAACAAUACUUGAUUACUCAAAGAUGAGUAAGAAUUCGUACUCAAAAUUUCUCUAAAUUAUUCAUUGUCAAUUUAUAGAACUUCAUGUUUAUAAUUAAAACCGUUCAUAUUAUAAAUCACCCUAUAAGGAUCACAUCUGCAAAAACUCAAUUACAACUAAAGUCGUUUAGUCUUUAAAUUGCUUAAAAACAAAUGAACGGUAUCAUAAAAGUAUUACGAACUGUCUAUGUAUUUUCUACAAUAGAUUGACUAAACGGCCUUACUUUUAAUUUAUUUUUUGCACAUAUGAUCUUUACAGUGUGAUUCAUAGUAUGAACAAUUCUGAUUAUAAGCACAAAGCUCUGUGAUUAAAAUACUAAGAAUUUUGAGUAAGAGUUUAUACUAAUAUUUGAGUAGCCAAGUAUUGUUCAUAAAAACGUUGUUAUAUCAUGUUAUCACAGGAGAAUAAUGUGAAACAUUAUUAUUCAUUUUGACACGUCUUCAAAUGAUUACGUUCUUCUUCAUUAUACUAUAGAGACUGAUGUGAUAUGUUGAUUACUCAUUUCUCUAAUGAUAAAUGGUCGUUAUGAUGAAGAAAAACCCAGGCUCCAUUAUAAAAUUAACCGAUAACAUAGGGAGCACACUUAAUCACUUAUAAGUACAUACAAAAUCCUUUUUUUAUCUGAAUUACAAAACCCUUUUUUAUCUGAUGUAUAAUUCAUACUUUCAAUACGCAUCUUCAAUACGUAUGACGAAUUUCAAGCUUAGCCCAAGUGGCAUGGAGCACAUGCAAGUGUUGGACUUCACACAUGGAAUAAUCUGCUCUGAUACUAUGACAAAAGUUGAAGUUCCACUAUAAAACUAAUUGGCAAUAUGAGAAGUAACUCAAUUAUUUAUAAAUACAUGCAAGGUCAUUCCUUUACGCGAUAUACUCUCAACAUUUCACUAAAGCAAAUAUGUACAACCACAAAAUGGACCAAAUAAUUCACUUGACAAAGUAGGACUCACUCAAGACAAUAUUAUGUUUCUUAAAAAAUAGGACUCGAGUACUCAAGACAAUAUUAUGUUUGUUAAAAUGGAAAUGGAGCUUCUGAUUACACCCAACUUUUAUCUCUUCUAACCCAACAAACUCUUUUUUAUUCUAUAAGAUUUUAAAAACUUAACAUCUACUCUCCACACGAUAUAUCUGUUAAAAUGGAAAUCAAGCUUCUGAUUACCCCUUUCUAGUCCUUCUCUAUCGUACACGAUAUAUCUGCUCAUCCAACAACAACCCUUCCUAAUCCUUCUUUAUCAUUUUUUUUAGGUUGUUUUAUAGACAUCCCGCAAUGUUAUGAAUCCACCUCACAUCCAAAAAUUUCCUCAAAAAUUCCAGCUUUGUCCCUCAUAGUUCUGAAGCCACCCCACCCCAAAAACAAAAAAGAAACACCAAACAUCUCCGUUUGACGAGCACCCAUCCCAAAACCCCAUCAACGUAGUAUCUCCGAUCUCUCUCCUCCUCUCCUUAACACCCUGUGAGUCCCAACACCCAAACUCACCAAGCUCGUUUCCAAAGAAAAUACAAAAGAAUGUAAUAGUCCUUCAUUUCAAUUAAGCAAGAAAAUCCCCAAAUUCUAGGGGUGUAUACUCGCAGAGAAUUGUAGAAACACGCACUUAUAAAAUGAAAAUUAGAAGUGCAGAACUACAUAUUAAAUCAACAAGCACUAAUUGUCUUGGCAAUUGAUACCAUAUAUCAUGACAGAGAAUUCAUAUGAACGAGAAUAUGAACUUUAGAAAAGGUGGUGCCAUGGUGAGUGGAUGUGUGUGAGGUUGUUGCCUGCCGGCAAAUAAUAGGAUGGUUGGAUUUUCUUUUUCUCACCUUAAUUCAAAUAGGGAUAAAAGAGAAAGUUCACUUGACAAAUUUGAAGUGUGAGAUGUCUUCGUAAGAUUGUGGGGUGUUAAUUGAAGGCCCAAACACAGAAAAUACAAAGCAACAUAUGAGCUUCCAAAACAACAGCAAAAGAGAGAAGCCCAACCAGAUAGUUGAGCCCAAUAUGGAAAAACACACAAGAAAACCCUAAACUCCUGGAUCCUCAGCCGCUACCAAAGUGCUUGCUGCUGACCACGAUCCAGUCCCCUGCAAAUCGCCGGAGAUAAGAACCGGCCAAGCCCCUGAAACAGAAAAAGAAACAAAUUUCAUCGUCCUUGAGCAACCUCCACACACCUUCAAAUCGACUAGGAGAAUGAAGGGAAAGAAAAGAAACAAAUUUCAUUGCUCUCGAACAACCUCCCCACAAUUCUUCUCUAUCUUACACGAUAUAUCUUCUCAUCCCACAACCUUCCCUUCAACAUGGGGCUGCCUAACCCACUUUCCUCCAUCAAUAUUCAGUUCUUCAUCAACCUAUGCGCACUCUUUUGAGAAUUCAACUUAAUUAUAAGGAAUAUGAAGCCAGCAGCUCUUUGCAACUACUUGUGAAUUAUGUCUUGAUUUGCGUUCAUUUAAGUUGGUGGUUAGCCUUCGAAUUGUUCUCCCCCAUCAAUUUUUAGAAGAGAUCAAACUAAACUAGACUCAGGUGUUCAUAUAUUUAUUGGAGCUAAAUAUCGACAAUACAUAAAACUCCAUCACUAUGAAGCCAAAUUGUAUCAAGACCUUGUAACAGCAGCUCAAAUGUCAGGAGUCGACUUGGAGGAGAAGACAUGGUAUUGGUAGCAAGCAGGUUCGGCACUAGUUAACCGAACCCCCAAUUCCAUGUUCACGUCUAUCAGCUAAUCCUCAACUCUUAUGUUCGGCGCUUAGCUUCCGAACACUGAACUUUUUGUCAAAUUUUGUGUUCGGCAUGUUAAAACAUAUGAUUCAAUCUAGUUGUAUUUUGUCCCAAGAGGAUUCAAAGAAAAGAUUAGGGCAGAACAUUGCAGCUCAAACCUCACUUGUAUACUUAGGGUUUUGGUCACAAUGCCACCUUACAUCUCAUUUAAAUUAGUUAGCUAACAAAAACCUUCAAGACCACAUAGCUUACACCAAAGCAAAUCCAUCUCAGUGUUACACUUGCAGUUUUGGACUGAGUCAACAUAUUGGCCGUUACAAAUUUAGAAAAAAUUAAGCCAUUGUUAUAAACUUUGUAUUUCAGUGUGAUUGUGUAAAUCCUAAAUUAGAUUUGAUUCUAGUUAUUCUACCCUAUUAGGACUUGUAUUCCUUUUAGGAGAAGGAUUCUUCCCUCUCUUAUUAAUAUAAGGCUAAAUAGCCAAAAUGGUCCCUGAGAUUUGCAUAAUCAAUCGAAAUGGUCUCUGAGGUUGAAAAUCAAUAGAAAUGGUCCCUAAGAUUGUCCAUCAUCCAUGAUUUUGGUCCUUCCAUUAAAAACUCUUUGGGCAAUUUUCAAAACUUCAUAACUCAAUCAUUUCUAAACCAAAUUUGACACAUAAUAUAUCAAAAUGAAGAUAGGAAAGUAUAGAACAAUAUUAUACUUAUUUGGAAGCCCAAUGGUUGCCGGAGAUGGCCGAAAAAUAGCCUGAAAGGUUACUGGUCCGCGGAAAAACUGGAAAACUCGCCGGAAACUAGGUAAACUUUAAACAUUUAUAACUUCUUCAAUACUCAAUGCCAUGAGUGAUUCAAAAACGAAAAUCAUAUUUCUUGACGAGACAAAGAUAAUGGUACCUUUCUCAGCAGUUAACUCGCUGUGGUUUAGCCAAAAAAAGACGAUGUUAUGAAGAUUUUCGUACAUGACGUCAGUCGGCCAAGUCAACGGGGAAAUUGCAAAGUUUGUUGGGUUUUUCAAGUCACAAUUCAACUAAAGCCCAAAGCCCAAAAUAGAACACAUCGGAGAUUACUUUAAUCUUAUUUCAAAUGGGUCUGGAGUAAUUUACUUGGGAAGCUUGCUCGCCACAUCAUUAGUUGUCCAAUACAAAUGAGGAAAAGAUUGGAAAAGACCUAAUCAUGCUAGGAUUUUGACUAAUAUGACACGCCCCGACCCUGAUAUUCCCCGAAUACCAGGAUAGACACGUGCUGGCCGACACCCGAGGGUGACGAAAGCCAUUAAUUGAUACAACAGCUAAGAAUAAGAAAUAAAGACGGGUUAUGAAUUUAAAAUACCAUGAAUUACUAAUUUAGGAACGUGUUCAGAGCAUACAACUAAACCUAAUCACUAAAAAGAAUUGAGAUAGAAUUGAAUGAAUAAAGAAGUGAGUCCUGCAUUCGAGAAGAUCCGAAGAUGCUGCUGCGGAAGUGUCUUGACGUCGGGAUUAUGUGCCUUGAUUCUAAGUCCUGAAUGGGGGCGCAAAACAAAGGUGAGUGGACCAAGUUUAUAUAUACAAUAAUAAUAAAACAGGUAUCAACAUACUAACCCCCAAAGUUUAUAUAUAAUGAAAACUACUAGCAUAAUAAGUGAUGGAUUUAAUAAAAAUCCUAGCAUGCCAAAAUAUCUCAAAAGUCACGUCGCGGAAACGCAUCGCGGAAAUCAAAACGGUAAACGCAUCAUAAAUCGUCUCGUAAACGCGGUGUGCUGCUAGAAAGAUCACUGAAUAAAUAUAACUCCCGGCCCAAUGCCUGCACCUCAGUCUCUGUGCCCGUAGCCAGAGAUAACUCCCUCCCGGCCCAAUGCCUGUCUCCGUGUCCCUCAGCCUUUCGCUAGGGAUUAUUUCUUCCGGCCUACAUGCCAACACCAGAUCCUCGCCCCAGGCGGCAUAGUGUCCACUAGGUAUGCACAAAUAAUUACGUCUCUCUUAAAUAACCACUUAAUAGCAUAGGUUACCGAUCAUCAUCUGCACUAUAAAGAGGGGUUCAAAAACAUGUUCUAGCAUCAUAUCGUCAUCUAUAAGAUAGUCUACCAGUUCAUGGUUUUUAUAGAAAAUAUGAUAUAUAUUAAAAUAUAGCUCAAUAUAAGCUAACAAUUAUUUCCUCACCAAAACAUGAGACGAAAUCAAUAAAUUCAGUAAACAGGAUUGAUAUAAAUCAAUUCACAAAAUUCGUAGGCAUGCUAAUCAUUUAUGCAAUUACUAUAAAAUCAUGUAAUUUUAGAAGGGGUCCACUCACAGUACUUAGUUGCCAAAAGCUGCGCCACUAGCGAAGAUGGAAACGUCACAAUAAUUGUCCCUAAGCACAUAAAGAGUCCAAUAAAUAAAACUAUAUAAUAGCAAUUGAAUUUGGGAAAACAGACAUUGGAAACGGAUUCAGAACGUCGAAUUACCCUAAGAAGAGUCCCGGACGAAAACCCGAAAAGUCAACCCUAAAGUCAACGUUGACCGGGGGUCAACUGUCAAACUAGGUCAANNNNNNNNNNNNNNNNNNNNNNNNNNNNNNNNNNNNNNNNNNNNNNNNNNNNNNNNNNNNNNNNNNNNNNNNNNNNNNNNNNNNNNNNNNNNNNNNNNNNNNNNNNNNNNNNNNNNNNNNNNNNNNNNNNNNNNNNNNNNNNNNNNNNNNNNNNNNNNNNNNNNNNNNNNNNNNNNNNNNNNNNNNNNNNNNNNNNNNNNNNNNNNNNNNNNNNNNNNNNNNNNNNNNNNNNNNNNNNNNNNNNNNNNNNNNNNNNNNNNNNNNNNNNNNNNNNNNNNNNNNNNNNNNNNNNNNNNNNNNNNNNNNNNNNNNNNNNNNNNNNNNNNNNNNNNNNNNNNNNNNNNNNNNNNNNNNNNNNNNNNNNNNNNNNNNNNNNNNNNNNNNNNNNNNNNNNNNNNNNNNNNNNNNNNNNNNNNNNNNNNNNNNNNNNNNNNNNNNNNNNNNNNNNNNNNNNNNNNNNNNNNNNNNNNNNNNNNNNNNNNNNNNNNNNNNNNNNNNNNAUUUGUUUUUCCUAGCAAGUGACUUUCUUUUUGUUCAAUUUUUUUGGCUUUAGCUUCCUCAAAAGGUUUGCUUGAAACAUUGUAAUAUAUUUUACUAUGUUUUUGGUUUGGUAGGUCGCUUAAGCUCUUCUUGAACCAGUAAAACCUGCUCGGUGAUGUGAGCUCGAAGUACCUAUAAAAUAGAUAAGCAACCCAAUUUAAACUUGCUAGUGCACAAGACCAAUAGUAGUAUAGUAAGAGCAAAUAUGUAGUCAUUCCCACGAGUAUUGAUUUUUACUUUAAUUUGAGUCCCAACUCAAUUCCAAUUCAACAAACUUUUAACACAAAAAAGGCUGAAAAUGAUUAAUUUUAUCUAGAAUGAACGAGCCAAGGAGAUCUCAAAACCCUAAAUUGCGAGUGGGUGGGAAGAAUAUUUGAGUGCUUGUAAUUGUUUCUCCAUAUGCUAGCUACUACAAUAUUAGCUUUAGCUGGCGGAUGAUAGUGGCGGAUAUUAGAAAAAUCAUGUCGGAUAAAUUAUAUCCGACACAUCUUUUAAUUUGUGUGACGGAUAUUAGAAAAAUCAUGUCGGUUAUAUCCGACAUAAAUUCCUGGAGGAUAUUUAGUGGUGGAUAUCAAAAAAAUACUGUUGGUUAUAACCGACAUAAUUUUUUAAUUCUUUUUUUAAAUAUUUUUGACAUAUUUUGGCGGUUUUUAAAUUAAUGGUGACGGUUAUAAACCGACAGAAAUGAAAAUUUUAUUAUUUUAAAAUGUUAUUUUGAUUAAAAAUAAAUAAACAAAUAUUUUAAUAAAUAAAUAAAUAGACAACCUAACAUACAAAAGCAAUGGGGAGGAUCUCAGUUCGCAACCCUAGAGACAUAGGAUUCUAUCUCCUGCCUUGAGCCCAGAGUCAAACAGUUCCAUAUCGCUUCAUUUCAAAACCCUCCAGGAAGCUCCAGAUUUGCACACUUGUAAUGCAUCCGAGUAUGGAGCUCCUUAGGAUUCUAAAAUAAAAACUAAAAUAUGCUCCAUUUCAGAGUGUUCGUUUAGAAACCCUAAGGCCCCUCUCACAUAUGGCACAGCUCUCUCUCUCUCUCUCUGAUCUCUUAGACCCAUUUCUUUCUAAAAUGAAAAAUAGCUCGCCUUCUCUCUGUUCUCUCUCAAACCCUUACCCCUAUGCCGCUCAGCCACACACAAGUGCGAGACCUUCUCUCUCCCAGCAACACAACCACACGCACUCUCCUUUGCAAGAACCCCAAAACCAACGCCUCUGCCAUGGAAAUGGUAGCACAUUCGAAGCUCAAAUCUUCCCACAAAGGUAAUCUUCGUCCCUGUCCUUGUUUAAUAGGUGCACAAUUGUUGAUUUUUUUCUUCAGAAAAGAGGAACAUUAACUCAUGAUGAUCUGCUUCCUUUGCAAGGAUGUGGGUUCGCCGACGAAACCCAAAGAAAAUAAAGAACAACAUUCAAACGGCUCAAAUCCAAGACAGAAAGGGUAAAAUUACUAGUCUCCAUAACUGAUUUCUCGCUAAAUGUAAUUAUAAUGGUAUGGUAUGUGUGCAGAGCACUCGGAACCAUGACAGAUCCGAGAGAAAGAAUGCUUAAACUGGAGAUCCCCUGGACAUAAGGCAGGACACAUCUCAAAGGCCUUGAUCUGUCAAUUUGGAAGGUAUAACCACUUGGAGAGCGAACAGGCGACGGGGAUAUGGAAAAUGCGGAAAUAUUUUUUGAGAUCGAGCUCCGGCAAGGUUUCGGAUGGUGAAUGCAGGGGAUAUGGAAAAUGCUGAAAUAUUAUUUUUAUUAUUAAUAUAUGUUCUGUCAGUUUUUAUCUGACACAUUGUUUUUUUAUUUUUUUCUUAUAUACUAAAUGUUCUGCCGGUUUGAUCCUUCAGGAUUUAAUCUGCUUCGGGUUGGUAUCUGUUUGCUUGUUUUUGUUCUCGUUCGUUCAUUUUUAGAUUUGUUAGUUGAUAUUGAUUUUUUGCAAGGAAAAGAAAAAUGAAAGAGAAAAAAAAAGGUUUUGCUUGCAGAGCAGAGGAGAAGAUCCCCUAACAAAUAAAAAAGGGGACGAAGGAGAAAAGAAGAGAAAAAAAAAAGAACCACAGAAAGGAAAAAGAAGGAAGAAGGUGCGAUGUUGCACCUCUUCGCCCAGAAGACAGAGAAAAAAGAAGGAAAAAGAAAAAAAAAAUUGUUUGGAGUUUGGAGGCCCCCACACGGGCAAAGAAAAAAUAUGUUUUUCUUUUUUUUUUUUUUGUUUGCUCAGGUUUGUAUGGAAAUCUUGCAUUGGCAUCAGCGUCGGCAUUGGUAUUGUCAUCGGCAUUGGUAUUUACAUCGGCAUCGGUAUUGGCAUCAGCAUCGGCAUUGGCAUUGCCAUUGGCAUUGGAAUUUGGAGGCUUGCAUCCACAUCUGCUUGUUGGCAAACUCAUGUCGUGUACCGCCACGAGUUUGACGGGGGUGUUGGAAAAUAUUAGUAUUUAGGUUUAUUUUAGUAUUUGGAUUUUGCUUGUUAGUUUAAGAUUUGGGCCUAGCUCAUCCGAGUUAGGUUUUCUUAGAUUUGGUUCUCUAUAAAUAGAGCUUGUAAUUUAGUUUGAGAAACAAGUUAGUCACAAUGUAGUCUCUUAGGGUUUUGUAGCUGUUUCGGCAUUCUCGUUUGUUUAAUAAUAUUCUUAUUAUUUUUGUUAGUCUUGUUCGUUGCGCACUCUAAUAUUCAACUUAUCCUCCUUAGGUUAAUCGUCUCUAGUUCCUGCCGAAAUCUCUUCAUGGCCGAGAAUGGCAAGCACAUUGGUACCAAUAUUCCAUCCUCGGUGUUGUUUUUGUGUUGAACGUUAAAAGCUAAUCAAAUCCAAGGCCUUCGAGGGUCCAGCAAAUACCGGUUGUCCCCAUCCAAAAUUGACAUCUCCAAAACCUGCACGCGUUUUAUCAGAAACUAUUAAAUAACUUCCUGUCGAUGAAUAUUGAGGUCGCCCUCUUAGUACCAAAAGAUCUGCCACUGAUCUCAAGUAUGCUUCAUUCAUGGUAGCUUUUGCCUUCUUCACCAACUCCAAAGCAUAUCCUAGUGGAUUUUUGCAUAGAGGUUCUGCCUUUGAAACAGCAGCUGGAAAUGCAAAUGCAUUGCCAUAGUAUCCCAAGGGAAGACGUGCUUGUUGGAAAUUAUAUAUUAUAGUAUAAAAUAUUGUAAUAUAUAAUUUUAAUAAUUGAAUGAAAAAUAGUGUUAACCAUAUUUCUUAGAAAGGUUAUAUUAUUUAGGUGCAUUCCCUUGUUAAAUGAUGUAUACUUAUAGAUGAAAAGUAACAUCACUUUAACAAGAAGUACUUGGGUUCUUUAUAAACUCAUGAAACCAUCAUCAUUAAUAUAGAAAUUAGAGUUAAUUUUUACUAUUGAGAAAUAGGGUUUCCCCACACUUUAUUUCUCUCAUGCUUCGUGUGUCAAAUUCCGAGUCGUGUCUUGAGGGUACGGAAUAUAUGAAGUUCGCCAAAGUCCGAAGAUUGAAGUGCUUUGACUUCGGAUUAUAGAUUGUUGAAUCUUGGGAGACAGACACCUACCGAACUACAAGCACAAGAGUAGGGGAAAAAUUCUGUCUUUAGGACAUUGCAUUUAUGCAAGCCUCAAUCUCCAAGUUUGUUAGUAUUUCUAACUUUCUCCCUAGUUGUUUAUAUUAAUCUCAAAUAUAAUUGAUGUUGUGAUUUUCUUUAUGAUUAUUAUCAUUGGAAUUAUAUUGUUAUUUUUCAUAUUUUCUAAUAUUGCUCCAACAAUCUAAAGACAUAAUGUAUUAUGCAAUAUUAGAAGUAUGUAUGAAUGUGAGUGUUAGAAGAUUUUAAGAUCAACAACAUUGAACGUAACCCUAACCCUAAGUCGGAGAAAACUAUGGUUUUCUACGGAAAAAGGUAUGUCUCGGUGGGGCUGCAGUUUAUUUGCUUAUUCAUGUAUAGUCGGUAUACAUAAUAUAGUAUUGUUAAACAUGAUACAAAUCUAAAUAUAUUCAUCUGUAUACGUAAGAGCAGUGUUUGCAUGUUGCUUCAAUAAAAUAUAGUCUGCAUGUUGCUUUAAUAAAAUAGUUUUACUUUGUGCAUACACUUAUUUUCUGGGAAAGAAAAGGACAUGAAGUGAUAUAGAGACGGCAAUAUAGAAGGAGUUGUUUCUCCUUCAUAAUUAUAUUUCAUUAUUAAUUUGCACGAGAUAGCAUAUCAUUGGUACAUGAGAAGUUUGAACAUUAUAUGCGUGCAAGGCAUGGGCAGGUGUAUAACUGUUUCUCGUUGCAAAAAUCUGAAAGGUCAUAACCUUUCGCCAGUGCAUGUAUGGUAUUGACUCUUUUGAUGUGUCAGACAUAUUGCAAUUACAUUAGAUAUUGUGUUUUGACACAAGGCAUGUUGCAUAAAAAUUCGUGUUUAACAGGCAUAACUAAAACUUGCAGUGAUAUCAUGAGUAUGGUCAUAUUCUUGAUAGAAUUUGACAAAAAGGCAUGAUCGCUUCAAUCGUGGAGUCAUUAAUUCGGUUCGUCUCAAACUGUAACCUUCGGUUGCAGUGAUGGUGCCAUUUGAAUGGCAUCAAUUGGCUUUGUUGUACUUGAAAAGUCACUAUAUGAAAGUUAUCUUCUCUACUUACAUUGGUUGAAAAGUUUAUUAAUUCUCAUGAAUGCAUAUAAGAUGUGAUUUUCUUUUGUUAUAAAGAAUUAGCGGUUUGUCUGAGAAAGUUAGCUAAAUUUUCUGCAAACCUCCAUGAAGAGUUGCGACCCUUCAUGAAAAUGUGAUAUGGCGCAAACAAGAAGAAACGGUUUCAAUUUUGAAAAGUAACGAUUAUCGCCUGAGAACAAAACUAAGAUAAAGCAAAUCUUUUUAUUGGGAAAGUAACAUUCCUUGCCUGGAAAAACCAAGCCCUACACAAUGAUUGGUCUUCUGCAUGCAAAUACAGAUGCUUGCAUUUUGUGAAAGCAAAUGGCAGAGUCAUGGUAGGUUUGGUUGGAGGAUGGAAACACUCGGUUUGUUUAGCAUCUAUUGGUGAAAGAUGCCUUGAUAUGUAUAUUUGCUUGGUGAGUAUAUUAACGCUGCAAAUAUUGAAGAUGCAAACUGCGGCAUCAUUGAAAAUUAUUGAAGCCAGGAUUAGGCUUAAGUGCUUAAAUCCAUGGCUUAAUUUUGGUCGAUCGGUUUCUGCAUAUCAUUAGGAAUAUGUUUUUUGCCCAUGUAAUGUGGUGAAAGGAAAAUAUAAAAUAAAAUAAAAUGGAAAGAUGAAUCUACCAUGCAAGAUUCAAACUUCAAAGAAAAGGCAUGUCAUGUGAUAUGUGUCUGCAUUUGGCAGUGAAUAUAACCUCUCCUAUCAGUCACCACCAGCCUUGAAGUUGAAGCUCUUGAGAAAAACAUAUGUACAUGGGUUGGUGGGUGCUUAUCUGUGAAUUGGGUAUUUUCAUACACUGAAGAUAUUGCUGUCACAAAAUCCUAUAUUUGGUUUUGCGCAGAGAUGAACUCAUUUUGGACAGAGCCCUGAGAAAGAAGUGAGAUGAGUAAAUGAACAGGUUUUGACUUCUGGGUUUCUUCGAUAUUUGAGUUUAUCAAUUAAUUGGGCAUGAGGGCAUAAAGGAUCUCCUUUUAUUAUCACCAAGAAAAUGUCUUUUCUCUUACACCAAUGAGUUAAAGUGUGGGGUCUUUCGUAAAAGGAAUGACUAAACACAUAAAUAAUGCUUAUUCAGUAAGCAUACAUAAUUGAAUUAGACAAGAUGAUGCUUAUUAAGUUAGCAUAUAAAUCGAAUGUACAUAGCCAUUGGGUUGUGUUAUUCAUAGUUAAGAGCAUUCAUAUGUACUAGGUGAAUUCAAUAAUGCUAACUAAUUGAAUCAUUGACAAUGUGAAGGCAAAGUACAUAGGUGGAAAUACAUGCAUUUCAAUAAAGAAAUCCUCCUAUGAAAGUACUUUACAAUCCGGAUAGGAAGCACGUUGGCUUCAAAAUGUUGUAGGGGAUAAUCUUAUGCAUGUAUUGAGAUGGUUUGCGAAUAAGGCAAAGAACAAAUUAGAAGGAGUAAUUUGCAUGUAAAGAGAGAUAAUAUUCUCAUAUUCUUUUGAGUUUUAAGGUGUGAAGAGGUUAGAGACCUUCUUUCAAUUACCUUAAAUGUGGGGGAAGUCUGUUUUCUAGCAAAUUACUUAUUAGUAAGUCCAACAUAUGUUUUGAUGACUUAAAACUGAAAAACAACUACUCUUGAUGAAAUUUAUUUCAUGCAUGAUGGAAUAUUUUGGCCAACAUUAGAAAUAGUCAACCUAAAUGGUACCAAUUGUUAAAGGUUAGACUAGAGAGUAAGGUGAUCAUUGAGGGGAAUGAGGCUAAAGCCAACAUAACUAAUGAAUCAGCCGAGCGGAAACUUAACUUAGUUGAUUGGAGAUCCCAUGGUCUAAGUUCAAUAGGCAAACUGGUUGGGCAUGAUUCAAAGAAGUUAACACACACUACAUACCUCAUUCCUAUGAUGGAAGAAGUGUGUUGUCUACAGAAGUUUUAGGGUGUAUAUUUAUAUUACUUAAUGACAGUGAUAUCUUAUAAAUAAGAGUAAUAGAGCAGACUAUUCUUAAUCAGUGAUCACCUAUGUGAGAGUAGAAGUGGGUCGCUUCUAUGAGUAUGAGAUGGCUAACUUCUCUAAAGCUCUCAUGAAUAUAUGAGAUUUGUUCAGGACCAAAAUGAACACAAGCGUAUGAACCGGAAUAUAUAUUAGGAUUAGUGAUGUGUGUUGCUUAUUGUCUCGGUUUACUACUGCGAUGAACAUUCAAGAUUUUAUAUUCACCGCGUCACCAAGUAAAUCCGAUAAGUAUUCACUAGGGUAGGUUCAAGUCCAAAAGACACCUCUCCCGAUGCAUCUCUUGUCCGCCUGUACUCUCAAAUUAUUCCUGAUUUUUCAUUCAUGUGGGGGAUUGUUGGAAAUUAUAUAUUAUAGUAUAAAAUAUUGUAAUAUAUAAUUUUAAUAAUUGAAUGAAAAAUAGUGUUAACCAUAUUUCUUAGAAAGGUUAUGUUAUUUAGGUGCAUUCCCUUGUUAAAUGAUGUAUACUUAUAGAUGAAAAGUAACAUCACUUUAACAAGGAGUACUUGGGUUCUUUAUAAACUCAUGAAACUAUCAUCAUUAAUAUAGAAAUUAGAGUUAAUUUUUACUCUUGAGAAAUAGGGUUUCCCCACUUUAUUUCUCUCAUGCUUCAUGUGUCAAAUUCCAAGUCGUGUCUUGAGAGUACGGAAUAUAUGAAGUUCGCCAGAGUCCGAAGAUUGAAGUGCUUUGACUUCAGAUUAUAGAUUGUUGAAUCCUGGGAGACAAACGCCUACCAAACUACAAGUGCAAGAGUAGGGGCGAAAUUCUGUCUUUAGGACAUUGCAUUUAUGCAAGCCUCAAUCUCCAAGUUUGUAAGUAUUUCUAACUUUCUCCCUAGUUGUUUAUAUUAAUCUCAUAUAUAAUAGAUGUUGUGAUUUUCUUUAUGAUUAUUAUCAUUGGAAUUAUAUUGUUAUUUUUCAUAUUUUCUAAUAUUGCUCCAACAGUGCUUUCCCAGUGCAUUAACAAUGCAUGAAAUGCGAACAGCCUGUUUUGGAUUAAUUUUAGGUGCUAGAGUGCGACAUUUCUACAAACAAGCUGUGAUCAAGUCAAAUGUGGAGCAAGUGGAAAUUAGGUGGGGUGGAAUCUGCUUUCGAAGGACUCUCAUCUCCUUGGCACCAAAGUAGAAAGAUCGUUGAACCAUGUUUGACUGGUUACUGGAUGCGUAUGAGCCAUCAGAAUGAUCAAUCACAUCUUCAUAUUCAUGAUGAGCACAUGUAAUUCUUGGUGGAUCUCAAGUGAACAAGAGCU
rnacentral:lncRNA from 1 species